rnacentral:rRNA from 1 species
CUACGGGUUGCAGCAGUGAGGAAUAUUGCACAAUGGGGGAAACCCUGAUGCAGCAACGCCGCGUGGAGGAUGACGCAUUUCGGUGUGUAAACUCCUUUUAUAUGUCAAGAAAAUGACGGUAGCAUAUGAAUAAGCACCGGCUAACUCCGUGCCAGCAGCCGCGGUAAUACGGAGGGUGCAAGCGUUAUUCGGAAUCACUGGGCGUAAAGGACGCGUAGGCGGGUUUACAAGUCAGGUGUGAAAUCCUAUGGCUUAACCAUAGAACUGCACUUGAAACUGCGAACCUAGAGUAUGGAAGGGGCAGAUGGAAUUAGUGGUGUAGGGGUAAAAUCCGUAGAUAUCACUAGGAAUACCAAAAGCGAAGGCGAUCUGCUGGGACAUUACUGACGCUAAGGCGUGAAAGCGUGGGGAGCAAACAGGAUUAGAUACCCUUGUAGUC